ACGCGUCUUGAGCAGUCUUGCUCCUCAAAAAAAAAAAAAAAAAAAAAGCCACGCGCCAUCUUCGUAAUGAACCGAGAAAGAAGAUAACAAAAUGGUCGUCGCGGGGCCACCACGUGUGUUCCCUCCCGUGCGCCCAGCAGGAACUCGCGCUGCCCCUUCGAAAAACCUGUACGCCUGCCCGCCCAUCGCCUGGUGGCCUGAGCUCCCCAUAGCGUUAACUGCCAGUUCGGCGAACCCUCAAACCUCGCAGGGCCUCGCGACACCUGAAGACAAGUUCGGCCUCAUGUUGGAGUCAUCCACGAUGCAUCUGAUAGGACCCGAGGAGCACAGGCACCGAAUGGCCCAGACUCCCACAUCCAUGUCGGUUCAGCAAAGGCCACGACCGCUGCUGUCGUCCAGAGGCCUCUUUGUCUGUUCGCUCGUAGGCAUUGCAGUGAUUAUGAUCCUCUUUUUCGCCGUUGGAUUCUUCGCUUUGCAGCAUCGAGUCGCUGCCACCGUUGUUCGGAAUGUGCGCGGAUCCUAGGUCGAGCCACGGACUUUCCGACCACGGACUUUCAGACCUUUCCGACUCAUGUCGCAAGUGAAACAUUGUGUGGCCUUAACGAGGUUUUUUUGUCACGUACAGCGGUGCCAUUAAAAACGUGUCUUUG